CGGCCGCGUCGACGAGAUGUUGGGUUAAGUCCCGCAACGAGCGCAACCCUCGUGUUUAGUUGCCAUCAUUAAGUUGGGCACUCUAAACAGACUGCCGGUGACUAAACCGGAGGAAGGUGGGGAUGACGUCAAGUCAGCAUGCCCCUUACGUCCUGGGCUACACACGUACUACAAUGGUAGGGACAGAGGGCAGCCAACCCGCGAGGGCGAGCUAAUCCCGUAAACCCUGCCUCAGUUCAGAUUGCAGGCUGCAACUCGCCUGCAUGAAGGCGGAAUCGCUAGUAAUCGCAGGUCAGCAUACUGCGGUGAAUCCGUUCCC
rnacentral:rRNA from 1 species